AUGGUUGAAAGAGUAAAGACCAAAGUAGUUUACCUGUGCCUGAUAUGGAAAAUAUCGGACGGGAAGGCAGGAGAGGAGAAGCCUGAAAAGUCGCAGCGAGCUGGAGCCGCCAGAGUAAUGGAGGGGAAAGUUCCAGUCGCAGCGCUGAGAAGAGAUCAGCUGAAGAAGAAGCUGCAGACCUCCCAACAAAGCCUACAAAGAUCUCCAAGUUUGGAUUUGCCAUAGGUAGUCAGACAACAAAGAAAGCAUCAGCCAUAUCCAUCAAACUUGGAUCAAGUAAGCCUAAAGAAACUGUUCCAACUCUUGCUCCAAAAACUCUUUCAGUAGCAGCGGCUUUUAAUGAAGAUAAAGAUAGUGAACCAGAGGAAAUGCCUCCAGAAGCAAAGAUGAGGAUGAAGAAUAUUGGAAGGGAUACACCAACAUCAGCUGGACCAAACUCCUUCAAUAAAGGAAAGCGUGGGUUUCUGAUAACCAGAAGCUGUGGGAACGAAAUAUAAAAUCUCAUCUUGGAAAUGUCCAUGACCAAGACAAUUAAAUGAUGUGUUUUGAAAUUGGGGUGUAAGGUGGGUGUAAAGUUAAAAAGAACAGUUUCCUUUUUUAAAGAAUGGUAUAAGACUAUCUUUGGAGCCGCUUUUUUUUUUUCUUUUUCAUUUUUUUUUAAGAUUGAGUGGUACACUAAUAAAUGAGAGUUUGAAAUUAGAGGUAAUUUAUGUUUUAUAUACAGAUUUCAAGACAUUUGCUAAUUUUGUAGUUUCAUGUGAUUAGUUUCCAAAGGUUACAGAUAAUAAAGAAAUCAGAAAUGGUACCUUUUUAAGAAUUGCAUAUUUUUUUAAACACAACUAUUAGCACAUUGAAAGGGAAGCAAAAAGUUAUUGUCUAUUUAAAACUGCAAGCAGUUACCCUCUUAACUCCCUCAUUACCUAAACUGGCUCCCAGGAACAGCCUUAUAGAGAGAGGGAGUGUUGUAUUGGGAGGGAAAUGUUACUGGACUAUUGACUGAAAGUAAAUUUAGAUAAAAU